GGGGGUGGGGGGGAUGGGGGGGUGGUCUCCUGAAAUAAUUGUUCCUUCCCCUUCCUUCUGCAGAUCACCUUAAAGGAUCCCGUGUGCACAUGAAUUUUGAAGCCCAACAUCUCUCUUAACCAGCUGCAAAUCUGCAGGUCUUGGUGCACAGCCUGUCUCCCAUGACUACUCCUGUCCAGUAGAUCAAGUGACACGCGCAGGCCCAGGAUCUUAAAAUAUUUUAUUAAUCUCAUUGUGCCUGACCUGUGUCACCAAGUGAAUAGUCUGUGCUUUGAUUCCCAAGCCUAAUUCAAACAGCAAAU
rnacentral:lncRNA from 1 species